rnacentral:rRNA from 1 species
UACAGAGGGUGCGAGCGUUGUCCGGAAUCACUGGGCGUAAAGAGCGCGCAGGCGGCUUGGUAAGUCGGAUGUGAAAACCCGAGGCUCAACCUCGGGCGUGCAUCCGAAACUGCUCGGCUAGAGGUAGGUAGGGGAGAUCGGAAUUCCUGGUGUAGCGGUGAAAUGCGUAGAUAUCAGGAGGAACACCGGUGGCGAAGGCGGAUCUCUGGGCCAUUACUGACGCUGGAGGAGCGAAAGCGUGGGGAGCGAACAGG